rnacentral:rRNA from 1 species
UACGGGGGGGGGCAAGCGUUUGUUCGGAAUUACUGGGCGUAAAGGGCUCGUAGGUGGCCAACUAAGUCAUACGUGAAAUCCCUCGGCUUAACCGGGGAACUGCGUCUGAUACUGGAUGGCUUGAGGUUGGGAGAGGGAUGCGGAAUUCCAGGUGUAGCGGUGAAAUGCGUAGAUAUCUGGAGGAACACCGGUGGCGAAGGCGGCAUCCUGGACCAAUUCUGACACUGAGGAGCGAAAGCCAGGGGAGCAAACGGG